AAAACACAAAAUGCAGGGGCUCAGAAGGCAUCCAGGCUGGUGAAAACAGUCACAUCAGGGAGAGUGGUGAGCCUGCACCUCUUUCCCCACCCUGCCCCGUGCAGCUCUUUCAUCCAAAUGUCAUCUAGCUGGUGUGCACAGCAGCGUUAAGAAUCCCCGCACUGAGAGAUGAGACGCUUCAUCCUACAGUCUGUAUGCACCAGGAUUGCAGGAACUCACAGGAUUUUGCUCACAACUGACUUUCCAACGUCUUGGCCGUUGCCUGGCCCAAGCCUAUGAAUAUAUGUAUUCACUGGAUAAGUGAAUAAACUUGCCCAACAUCAGAUGGCUAUUACGAGCCAGAUUGCCUGACCCUGCAGUCAGCCCACAUUCUCACUUUAUCUUGUUGCUAAAUAUGAGAAAAUAUCUGUCACAAAUAGGAUAAAGAAAAUCUUUUUUUUUUCUUUUUCUAUGAUAAAACUUCCCACUGCAUUGUGUUUUCUUGAACCCAUACAAAAAACAUGAGUUUUCCCCUCAGAGACAAACCCUAGUUUCUAUGCCUUUUCUGC
ensembl:lncRNA